ACAAACCCAAAAUUAAAUAAUUUGGUGGGAGUUUGACCUCCAGUUAUAAAACACCCAUGUAUUGACCAAAUUCGUAUUCCUCCACAGCUAUAAUACUUCUAUGAAAAUAAUACUUGGAAAUUCUAGAUACAGUGAGGAUAAUACAGCAUGAGCACUCACAACUGUAGGGGUGUCAUUAAGCUAAUUCUUAUUGAACAAGUGAUGGUUUUCACAUAAACCCACAUCAUCAACCUUUGUGGCCCUAAUUUAAAGGUCAUGAGGAUGUCACUUCAUGCCUUCAUCUGAAACUUUUAAGUUGUGUGGUUCCAUUUUUAUUUUUAUUUUUAUUUUUUUUUUCCCCCCCCCUUAACUGUCAUUCCACACCUCCUCUCUCAACAUCUUUGCAUUCAGUAGAAUCCAAAAUAUGCCACAUGCACCCAUUCGCCAUGUUUCACAAACUGUUACACUUGCGGUAAUUGAACCAAGUGGGGAUUAAAUAACACUAAGCACAGAGGAGGACUGGAGUUAAUCAACAAACCAAAAAACACACACACACACACAAGAAAUAAGCCUAGUUUUGAGUCACCGAAAGUCUGGUGGACAGGAGGAGGGAGGAGGAGGCUUUUGCAACGUGGUCUUGGUUGUCGAUCCCUCGAAGGCAAAAAGCGCAGUGUGAUGUGCCAACAUGAUUGAUCGAAACAGGUUCGCAAAACUGGAACGGGAUUGAUGAUGAUGGUGAUGAUGAUGAUGAUGAUGAUGAUGCUGCUGCUGCGGUGGUGGUUCACAAGUCGCAGUUGCAAUGGCUUCAGUUGUGACAAAUAAUUCACAACCGACGACGAUCACCUGUCAAGCCUCAGAAACUCCUCCCUCACACCCCGUCUUGGAAGGCCGAUUUGGACCAGGUGAUGCAAGGAACCGGCUUGCGACCAGGGUUUCCCUGCAAAGUCAUCUUAGAGAUCUGAGUAUCCGCUGAGAUUGAGGAUGUCGACGGCGGCUUCAAACAAUUCAGAAAGAGGCGCGAACAGCAGGGAUACGAGAUUGAGUGAUCGCCUCCCAGCCACAAGGGAUCGUAGUGGCUGCUUGCCCAUGUCAAGCUCGACGGAAUACACGAUGGUAAACCUUAAUUUCUUAUCAUCAACACCGCAGUUCCGGAGAUUUUGAAUUGGAAUAUACUCGACAUCGGUUUCAACGCGCGAAUCGUCACGCUCCUUGCCUCCGUCUGUACAGAAACUGUUGCUCUUGCACCGUGAAGGCUUUAUUAACGUCAGGAGCAGCAAUUGAUGAGAUAUGUGGCGGCAACUGAAACCUCUUCAUUCCGUCCCGCGUGCUCUCUUCUCAGUGACUACAACUCCUCUACGACUCGAGUCUGGCCUCUGUCCCUAAAGGCUUCCAGCCCCAGUCGCAUUCUUCCUUAAAAAUAUAGAAGAAACCAUGCUCUUUGACACCCACAAAUCCUCACCACCUGAUCUUGUACUUUCAUGAAGCGGUUACUACCAUUACAACUCCAAUCUCCAAAUAGAGCCCAACAAUGUGAGGUAUUCCAGCCAGCGAGGAUCAUUCACAUCUCCCAGACGAAAUUAUUGCAUGAUCAAUUGUUGAGGAAGAAUGAAAGUAGAUCAUACUUUGUUUUUAAAGCUCUCCAACUCACGGUGAUGCUAAUACUAACUUUCGGCGGACAAGACCAAGUCUUGUUGCUCAUUUCUUCACCUUCUCAUCGCCAAAGCCUCAUUGUCUCAAGCAUCCUUGUCACUUUCUCAUGACCAUGAAAGUCUCCUUUCAAUCAAGGGACUUUGGUUGCACAAGCUCGGUGCUCACUCUGAUGCUGCAAAAUCACUCUGAUUCUAGCGAAACACUCUCCACAGCUUCAUAGGGGAUAUCAAGAGGUUUAGGGUGUGAAAAAGCAAAGGUAUUGAUGUUCAAUAGAAUGGUGAUAGAAACAAGUUGGAUUGGUGGGUGAAGAAUUACUAGAGAUGUAGGAGACCAAUAAUAAUUUAGUGUGAGAGGAUGUAAUUUGUUGAUGAGGAAGAAUGAAGGAAGAUCAUACUUUGUGGAGAAUUA